rnacentral:tRNA from 1 species
GGGCGGUUAGCUCAGCGGUAGAGCACUACGUUGACAUCGUAGUGGUCACUGGUUCGAUCCCAGUAUCGCCCACCA